UCCCCGGGUCCCCAAUGCAGCCCCGGAUGAGCCUGCAGUAUUUUCCUUAUAUGAUUGGGCCCCACGGCUGGCGGCGGCGCUUGCCCGGAGCCUAAGAGGAUUAUAAAGGGUCCGGCGAAGUGGGGCCGGGGGCCCGGGG
ensembl:snoRNA small Cajal body-specific RNA 17